rnacentral:rRNA from 1 species
ACAUCCAGAGAAUUUAGCAGAGAUGCUUUAGUGCCUUCGGGAACUCUGAGACAGGUGCUGCAUGGCUGUCGUCAGCUCGUGUUGUGAAAUGUUGGGUUAAGUCCCGNAACGAGCGCAACCCUUAUCCUUUGUUGCCAGCACGUAAUGGUGGGAACUCAAAGGAGACUGCCGGUAAGAUAAACCGGAGGAAGGUGGGGAUGACGUCAAGUCAUCAUGGCCCUUACGAGUAGGGCUACACACGUGCUACAAUGGCGCAUACAAAGAGAAGCGACCUCGCGAGAGCAAGCGGACCUCAUAAAGUGCGUCGUAGUCCGGAUUGGAGUCUGCAACUCGACUCCAUGAAGUCGGAAUCGCUAGUAAUCGUAAAUCAGAAUGUUACGGUGAAUACGUUCCCGGGCCUUGUACACACCGCCCGUCACACCAUGGGAGUGGGUUGCAAAAGAAGUAGAUAGCUUAACCUUCGGGAGGGCGUUUACCACUUUGUGAUUCAUGACUGGGGUGAAGUCGUAACAAGGUAGGCGUAGUGCU